AUUGAACGCUGGCGGCAUGCUUUACACAUGCAAGUCGAACGGUAACAGGGUGCUUGCACCGCUGACGAGUGGCGAACGGGUGAGUAAUGCGUCGGAACGUGCCGAGUAGUGGGGGAUAACGCAGCGAAAGUUGUGCUAAUACCGCAUACGUACUGAGGUAGAAAGUGGGGGGACCUUCGGGCCUCACGCUAUUCGAGCGGCCGACGUCUGAUUAGCUAGUAGGUGAGGUAAAGGCUCACCUAGGCGACGAUCAGUAGCGGGUCUGAGAGGAUGAUCCGCCACACUGGGACUGAGACACGGCCCAGACUCCGACGGGAGGCAGCAGUGGGGAAUUUUGGACAAUGGGCGAAAGCCUGAUCCAGCCAUGCCGCGUGUCUGAAGAAGGCCUUCGGGUUGUAAAGGACUUUUGUCAGGGAGGAAAUCCCUAGUGCUAAUACCGCUGGGGGAUGACAGUACCUGAAGAAUAAGCACCGGCUAACUACGUGCCAGCCGCCGCCGUAAUAC
rnacentral:rRNA from 1 species